rnacentral:rRNA from 1 species
GACGAACGCUGGCGGCGUGCUUAACACAUGCAAGUCGAACGAAGUGGCGAACGGGUGAGUAACGCGUAAUCAACCUGCCCUUCAGCGGGGGACAACAGUUGGAAACGACUGCUAAUACCGCAUACUGACGGCGGGGAUUGCGUCUGAUUCGCUAGUUGGCGGGGUAACGGCCCACCAAGGCGAUGAUCAGUAGCCGGUCUGAGAGGAUGAACGGCUACAUUAGGACUGAGACACGGCACAGACUCCUAAGGGAGGCAGCAGUGGGGAAUCUACCGAAAUGGACGAAAGUCUGACGGAGCAACGCCGCGUGAGUGAUGACGGCCUUCGGGUUGUAAAGCUCUGUUAAUCGGGACGCGGUACCGGAAUAGAAAGCCACGGCUAACUACGUGCCAGCAGCCGCGGUAAUAC